UUAAGCGACUAAGCGUACACGGUGGAUGCCCUGGCAGUCAGAGGCGAUGAAGGACGUGCUAAUCUGCGAAAAGCGUCGGUAAGGUGAUAUGAACCGUUACAGCCGGCGAUGUCCGAAUGGGGAAACCCAGUGCAAUUCGUUGCACUAUCGUUAACUGAAUACAUAGGUUAACGAGGCGAACCGGGGGAACUGAAACAUCUAAGUACCCCGAGGAAAAGAAAUCAACCGAGAUUCCCCCAGUAGCGGCGAGCGAACGGGGAGCAGCCCAGAGUCUGAAUCAGCUUGUGUGUUAGUGGAACGGUCUGGAAAGUCCGACGGUACAGGGUGAUAGUCCCGUACACCAAAAUGCACAGGUUGUGAACUCGAAGAGUAGGGCGGGACACGUGGUAUCCUGUCUGAAUAUGGGGGGACCAUCCUCCAAGGCUAAAUACUCCUGACUGACCGAUAGUGAACCAGUACCGUGAGGGAAAGGCGAAAAGAACCCCGGCGAGGGGAGUGAAAAAGAACCUGAAACCGUGUACGUACAAGCAGUGGGAGCACCUUCGGGUGUGACUGCGUACCUUUUGUAUAAUGGGUCAGCGACUUAUAUUCUGUAGCAAGGUUAACCGUAUAGGGGAGCCGCAGGGAAACCGAGUCUUAACUGGGCGUUAAGUUGCAGGGUAUAGACCCGAAACCCGGUGAUCUAGCCAUGGGCAGGUUGAAGGUUGGGUAACACUAACUGGAGGACCGAACCGACUAAUGUUGAAAAAUUAGCGGAUGACUUGUGGCUGGGGGUGAAAGGCCAAUCAAACCGGGAGAUAGCUGGUUCUCCCCGAAAGCUAUUUAGGUAGCGCCUCGUGAACUCAUCUUCGGGGGUAGAGCACUGUUUCGGCUAGGGGGUCAUCCCGACUUACCAACCCGAUGCAAACUACGAAUACCGAAGAAUGUUAUCACGGGAGACACACGGCGGGUGCUAACGUCCGUCGUGAAGAGGGAAACAACCCAGACCGCCAGCUAAGGUCCCAAAGUCAUGGUUAAGUGGGAAACGAUGUGGGAAGGCACAGACAGCCAGGAUGUUGGCUUAGAAGCAGCCAUCAUUUAAAGAAAGCGUAAUAGCUCACUGGUCGAGUCGGCCUGCGCGGAAGAUGUAACGGGGCUAAACCAUGCACCGAAGCUGCGGCAGCGACACUAUGUGUUGUUGGGUAGGGGAGCGUUCUGUAAGCCUGCGAAGGUGUGCUGUGAGGCAUGCUGGAGGUAUCAGAAGUGCGAAUGCUGACAUAAGUAACGAUAAAGCGGGUGAAAAGCCCGCUCGCCGGAAGACCAAGGGUUCCUGUCCAACGUUAAUCGGGGCAGGGUGAGUCGACCCCUAAGGCGAGGCCGAAAGGCGUAGUCGAUGGGAAACAGGUUAAUAUUCCUGUACUUGGUGUUACUGCGAAGGGGGGACGGAGAAGGCUAUGUUAGCCGGGCGACGGUUGUCCCGGUUUAAGCAUGUAGGCUGGUUAUCCAGGCAAAUCCGGAUAAUCAAGGCUGAGGUGUGAUGACGAGGCACUACGGUGCUGAAGUAACAAAUGCCCUGCUUCCAGGAAAAGCCUCUAAGCAUCAGGUAACAUCAAAUCGUACCCCAAACCGACACAGGUGGUCAGGUAGAGAAUACCAAGGCGCUUGAGAGAACUCGGGUGAAGGAACUAGGCAAAAUGGUGCCGUAACUUCGGGAGAAGGCACGCUGGUGUGUAGGUGAAGUCCCUGCGGAUGGAGCUGAGACCAGUCGAAGAUACCAGCUGGCUGCAACUGUUUAUUAAAAACACAGCACUGUGCAAACACGAAAGUGGACGUAUACGGUGUGACGCCUGCCCGGUGCCGGAAGGUUAAUUGAUGGGGUUAUCCGUAAGGAGAAGCUCUUGAUCGAAGCCCCGGUAAACGGCGGCCGUAACUAUAACGGUCCUAAGGUAGCGAAAUUCCUUGUCGGGUAAGUUCCGACCUGCACGAAUGGCGUAAUGAUGGCCAGGCUGUCUCCACCCGAGACUCAGUGAAAUUGAACUCGCUGUGAAGAUGCAGUGUACCCGCGGCAAGACGGAAAGACCCCGUGAACCUUUACUAUAGCUUGACACUGAACAUUGAGCCUUGAUGUGUAGGAUAGGUGGGAGGCUUUGAAGCGUGGACGCCAGUCUGCGUGGAGCCAACCUUGAAAUACCACCCUUUAAUGUUUGAUGUUCUAACGUUGGCCCCUGACCGGGGUUGCGGACAGUGUCUGGUGGGUAGUUUGACUGGGGCGGUCUCCUCCCAAAGCGUAACGGAGGAGCACGAAGGUUAGCUAAUCCUGGUCGGACAUCAGGAGGUUAGUGCAAUGGCAUAAGCUAGCUUGACUGCGAGCGUGACGGCGCGAGCAGGUGCGAAAGCAGGUCAUAGUGAUCCGGUGGUUCUGAAUGGAAGGGCCAUCGCUCAACGGAUAAAAGGUACUCCGGGGAUAACAGGCUGAUACCGCCCAAGAGUUCAUAUCGACGGCGGUGUUUGGCACCUCGAUGUCGGCUCAUCACAUCCUGGGGCUGAAGUAGGUCCCAAGGGUAUGGCUGUUCGCCAUUUAAAGUGGUACGCGAGCUGGGUUUAGAACGUCGUGAGACAGUUCGGUCCCUAUCUGCCGUGGGCGCUGGAGAAUUGAGGGGGGCUGCUCCUAGUACGAGAGGACCGGAGUGGACGCAUCACUGGUGUUCGGGUUGUCAUGCCAAUGGCACUGCCCGGUAGCUAAAUGCGGAAGAGAUAAGUGCUGAAAGCAUCUAAGCACGAAACUUGCCCCGAGAUGAGUUCUCCCUGAGACUAUAAGUCUCCUGAAGGAACGUU
rnacentral:rRNA from 2 species